AAAAUUGUCUCGGCCUUUUGGCUAAGAUCAAGUGUAGUAUCUGUUCUUAUCAGUUUAAUAUCUGAUACGCGCCCUAUCUGGGUGCCAUAUAUUAAAUGGAUUUUUGAAACAGGGAGAUGGAAGAAGAGCUUGCUCUGUCCACUCCACGCAUUGACCUGGUAUUGCAGUACCUCCAGGACCGGUGCACAAAAA